CGAUUUUCCUAUUAUAUAAAUAUUCAUGCAAAAAUAUUAAAAUAAAUUUCUCUUUAAAUCAGAUUUGUGGUUACGAAACCACUGUCCCGAUAACCUUGAAUUUAGGCCAUUACAAUGUCUGACGCCUGAACAAGGUAUGAGGCAUUACCGGACUUAAUCGUUCACAAACAUGCAAAAACCGGGCUACAAAAUUUCAUUCGUAUCAAAACUUUUCAAACACAUGCAUAAUGUUCCAUUCAUGGGCUUACGAAGCCCUAAACAUGCAUUGAAAGUAGUUAGGGACUAAACCGAGAACCUUAAAAAGUUUUGGGAAAACUUAGAAAAUUUUUCCAUGACACAAGGUCGCACGCCCGUGCAGACACAGGGACACGCCCGUGUGCCUUCCACACGCUCGUGUCCUCAGGCCGUGUAACUCUCUGACUAUGACGUCAACGAAUAAUUUGAACCACACGGCCAAGCCACACGCCUGCGUGCUAAGGCCAUGUCCCCAACACGGUUGAGACACACGGCUGUGUCUCAGCCUAUGUGGCCAACACUUGGGCUGUUUUCCAAGCCUUUAAGUUACCCUUAAUCCUUCACAUCUUUAUUUCCAUAUUACACAAUUAAUUCAUGGCCAUGACCAUUUAGAUUUGGUCAUAAAAAAUUCAUCAUGCACAUAUGUCUUAAUUCCAAUCAUGCAUGCCUUACAAGCAUAAUCACAUCACAAGCGCUAUAACUUAGCAUGCAUAGAUAGAUUUACAAACCAUAAUCACUAUGAGCCACACCUCAUGGCCAUAUAUAAGUAACUCAAUGUAAGCCAAUACCUUUGGCUAAUCAUAAUAACGGCUAACAUAAAAACUAAGUCCCUAUACAUGCCACUCACACGAAAACGCUUAACAUAUAUGGGUCAAUACUUCAAAGGCGAUGGCUUGAUAGUGUGAUGCUGCCUCAGACGAUCUCCAACCCCGAGCUAACCUGUCAACACUAAAGAAAAGGAAAGAAAGAGAGUAAGCUUUAUAGCUUAGUAAGACCGUAUGAAAAUAAUAAGCAAUUUAUCAACUUGCUUCUCAAGGUAAUACAACCAUAUUUGUACUUUUAUUUAUGUUCAAGUCAAGUUGUUUUCUCGAUUCACAGUUAUUAAAUUAUUUAUAUCUAGAGCUACGGAACUCCAAAUUAAGUUCUGCUAAUUUCCCCUGAAACUAGACUCACAUAUCUUCUUACCAUAAAAAUUUUAGAAGUUUUGAUCUAGCCAAUAAGUACAGUUUAUUCUUUAAAGUCACCCCUAUUUCGCUGUUUGACAGUUCCAACCCCUCUUCACUAAAAAUUAAUUAUCUCCUUAUAGGGGAUUUAGAUGAUGUUCGCUUUCGUCUCUUUUGAAAAUAGAUUCAUUAAGGAUCCUAAACAUAUAAAUUGUAACCCCUAAUUAUUAUUUUACAAUUUUUAAUUAUUUUUCCAAAUCAGAAUAGGGGAUUCCGAAAUCAUUCUGACUCUGUCUCACAACAAUUCAAAUAUUUCAUAACAUGGACUUCUUUUGCUUACACCAUUUUUUAUAUGAAACUAGACUCAAUAAGAUUUAAUUUCGUAUUUCAUUCAGUCUCUAAUUCAAUUUUCAUAAUUUUUGGUGGAUUUUUAAAGUCGGACUGUUGUUGCUAUCUAGAUCUGUUUCAAUGCUAAUUUUACCUCUUCGUAAUUAUCUUUAAAUAGGCUUUUAUGCCAAUCAAUUUCUCUUUCCAUAUUUAUUAGGCCACAAGGUGAAGGGGUAAACAUAUCAUGUCCCAAUUUAAUUCGACUUAAAAGCCUCAUAGAUAAUCAUCAAUCAAAUUUACAACAUAAUUACCCACCAUAGGUAUCAACCUAAUAUUUACAAGGUCGUCACAAAGUCAUUCUCAUAAGUAUGACUUACUCAUUUACAUUCUUACCAAAAAUCCAAUAUGCAUCGAGAUCAUCACUCAUGAAUUUUUUAGUACAUACCUAUAUCCUUUCAACAUGAUCAUAACAUAGCUUACUCAUUUUCAUAUCUAGAACUUACUCGUAUCAUUCUUACCAUCAGGGCAACAUAACUAGACUCAUAUCUCAUAGGUUCGAAUAAGAACCUGUACCACUCAAACAUGAUUAUAUCCUUCCAUAUCAUUAUCAUGAGCCUUAAAAUAACCUGUGAAUCCUUUUGGAAUACUAAUGGAUAUCCGAUAAGCCUCACACAAGAGGGUGAAUUGCUGAUGCCAUGUCCCAGACAUGGUCUUACACUGGCUCACAUGUCAAGGCCGAUGCCAUGUCCCAGACAUAGUCUUACACUAGCUUUCGUCUCAAUGCCGAGGCCAUGUCCAACAUGUUCUUAUACUGGCUCUUAUAUGGUGGCCGAUGCCAUGUCCAACAUGGUCUUACACUGGCUCAUAGUCAACGUCGAUGCCAUGUCCAAGAUGGUCUUACACUAGCUCUCGUAACAUAGCCGAUGCCAUGUUCCAAACAUGGUCUUACACUGGCAUACGAAAUGUGGCCAAUGCCAUGUCCCAGACAUGGUCUUACACUGGCUCACAUGUUACCCUAAAUGUCAUGGCAUGGAUAUCCAAUUUAUUCCUCGGUUCAAUUGGGACUCUACUACAUUAAAUUUCAUCAUGCAUUUGCAAUCAUAUUACGCAAAAUUAAUCAUUCAACACAUAAAAAUGAUAAAGUUACCUUACGUACAACUUACAUGUUUCAAUGGAAUAUCAUGUUACAUUCAAUUUCCAAUAUAUUCAAUCAUCACAUAAAUGUUAUUAACAUUUGGCAUCACUUUCUCAUACUCAAUAUCAUUAACAUAUAAUUUAAUACAAUCAUAGCAAGAUAGAUUUCAAGUAUAUUAACAAUAACAUGGAUAACAUGCUUAUUUAGUCACACGGACUUACCUCGAAUGAAAUUUCGGCUAAUUAUUCUAUUUUAGUCCAUAACCUCGUACCUUCAAAUUUAAGCCGAAUCUUGAUUUUCUUGAUCUAAAAUAAUAAAAAUAUACUACUUAAAUCAUCAUAUUAACCAAUAAAUUUCAUAAUUUAUACUUUGACAAAAUGACUAUUUUACCCCUAGACUUUCACAAAAUUUACAAAUUUGCCCCUAGGCUCGUAAAACGAUUUUUAUCAAAUUCUCUCACUAACCAAGCCUAGCUGAAUUCUUUUUAUAGUAGAAGCAGCCCAAAAUUUCAAUUAUUUCUCACACUUAUCACUCAUUUUAUAAACUUUACAAAAUGGUUCAUUUGAUGUGUUUUCAUGAAAAUCCUUUCACAAAAGUUGUUUAUUAAACAACCAAGAUUCAUUUUAUUUCACAAAUUUUCAGAAAAUAUUACAAAUUAUCUCAUGUUAAAACCCUAUACUUUCAACCAUUUUGCAAAAUAGUCCCCUCAUUAGCUAGCCCAUGCUACAAGGGUCUUAAAAAUGCAAAAAUCAUCAAGAAAGGCUAUCUAAAUCACUUACUUGCAAGGGAUAUAAGUGGCUGAUUUUUUGAGCUUUCAAAACCCCCUAUUUUCUUGUAUUUUUGGUGGAUAAGAAGAUGAGAAAAAUAUGAUAUCAUUCUCUCUUUAUUUUAUUUUAUUUCUAGCCAAUUUAGUCACCAAAACUCACCUAACUUUGAAACUUUCUUCUUUUUGUCUCUAUGGCCGGCCACCACUAAUUUAAAGGCAUAUUUUCACUUUAAAGACCUCCAAUUAUGGUUCUCUAGCUAUUUAACACAUUUGGCUAGCAAAACAAAACUUUUUCCCUUUAUGCGAUUUAGUCCUUUUUCUCAAUUAAGCUCAUAAACACUAAAAUUAAUUCACCAAAAUUUUCGUGCACUUGUAUAAUCAUGAUAUGACACAUAAAAUAAUAUUAAAAAUAAUUUCUCAGACCUCAAAUUUGUGGUUCUGUAACCACUGUUCCGACUAGGCCCAAAAUCGGGCUGUUACAUCUCAAGUACUAUUAUCAAUUUGCAGAUGGAAUGUGCAUAUCAUGGAAAUCGAAUGGUCAAAGGCAAAAUAAUUUUCCAUUGUCUUUCUUGGACAUUCAAGCCAUGCAUUGAAGCAUUCUAUUACUACAAGCCAUUAGUCCAAAUUGACAGCAUAUUCAUGUACGGAAGAUAUGAGCAUCAUUUGUUGUUGGUUGUUGCACAAUACGAUAAUCGAAAAAUCCUACUAAUAGCUUUUGUAAUUAUUGAACAAGAAAUUGUUGUUGCUUAGGACUUCUUUUUUACUAAGUUGAGAAGGCAUGUUGUGCUGCAACUCAAUAUAUGCACAAUUUAUAAUAGGGUACCCAAAAUAUAAGUUGCGAUUGAUCGAUAUGGAAGCCUAUGGGUUCAUGCACACUAUAGGUAUUGUAUACGUCAUAUCAAGUCAAACUACAUGGGUCAAUUUCACAAGGAUGAUCAGUGACAUUAUGUUAUUAACAUGAGUACUUAGUAAAUAUUAUUUUCUAAUCAUUAUUAAACAUAUACAUUGUUUGUAUUGAUGGAUAUACUCUUUAUAUUCUUUGACAAUGUACGAGCUGAUCCAACAUCGAUUUCAUGAAAUGUUAAAGAAUUUGUGGGCCAUAAAUAGAAAAAGGUAUUAAUACCUCAAUGGGAUACCUAAGGAACAGUGGACUCAAUCAUAUGAUAGAGCUCUAGGAUAUAGGCAUAUGACAACAAACCUAGCGAAAUGCAUAAAUUCCAUAUUGAAGGGGACGCAUCAUUUGUCGAUAACGUCAGUGGUCAAAGAAACAUAUUUUCGCUUAUCAGCUUUGUUUCCAAAGCGGGCAGAAAAAUAUGUUGGACAAAUAAAGGGCAGACACAUUUGAUGCGAGGAAGUGAUGAAAUAUAUUGUAGAAAAUGCACAAAGGGUGAACUUAUGUCUACAGUUUGUCAGUCACGUCCAAAAGAAAUAUUUUGGGUUGCAGAGUUCCGUAGACCUGAUUUGGGUAUUAUCGAGGAAUCAUACUGUGUAUACUUGAGAUAAAUGACUUGCGAUUGUCAGAGAUUUCAAGCACUUCGUUUUCCAUACGCACAUGCAAUUGUUACAUCUGCCUCAGCACAUCUGGAUUGCAUGAGGUAUGUUGAUAAAGUGUACAAACUAAAUGGAUAUAUAAAGUAUGGAAGUCUGAAUUGCCACUAGUCCCAAAUAAAAGUAUAUGGCCACUUGUUUUGAGCACUUCAUCCGAAUUGCUACUGAAUAUUGAGUUGCGUCGUAAGCCAAAAAGUCUAUUGAAAUUUAGUCGAAUACGCAGCAAUAUGAAUAUUUGGGAGAAGAUAAACCAACCAAGGUUAUGUAAUUAUUGUAGGAAUCUGGGACAUAGUAAGACAACAUGUCCACAUUUUGGGGCAACAUUGAGGUGAUGAUGGAAUUAAAAGACAACAUGUCCACAUUUUGGGGCAACAUUGAGGUGCUGAUGGAAUUAAAAAAAUAUUCUUUUUUUAUAAACAUACAAAAAAUAAACAAUUUAUUUAUUUAUUAAUAAAAUGUAAAUAAGUAUAUUAUUGAUGUAAAAUUACAAUACAAACAAUUUGUUCAUUUUCUGGUAAAAUGUAAAUAAGUAGAUUAUUGAUGUAACAAUACAAUACAUUUUUUUUUCAUUUUUUUAUAAACAUACAAAACAAACAAACAAACAAUUUUUUGAUAAAAUGUGAAUAAGUAGAUUAUUGCAGUGAAAACUCAAUACAAUACACAUUAAAAUUUAACAAACUAAAUGAUAAUGUAUAUGUCAACAAUUUAAAAUAAGAAAAUCAUCUCCAUCAUCGGGUCGGAUGUGUGCAACAACCCGGUGGUGUCGAGUACGAGGAAGAUAAGGUUGGGGUUCUGGCUCAUCAUUUUUAUCUCCAUUUCUAUCUCCAUCUCCACCCCCAUCUUGAUCUUGAUCUUUAUCUCCAACAUUAUCUUUAUCUUGAUAUUGUUCUUCCGUGCUAAACUGCAUUUGUGUAACACCCCUACCCGUAUCCAUUGUCGGAAUAGGUACGAGGCAUUACCGGAGUUUACUGAACAUUUUCAGAUAAUUCUAAGUCAUUUAUUAUUCAUAUUUUGAAAAUAAUCAUAACGUCUCUUUAUUGGGCCCUCGAAGCCCCAAACAUACAUUAAAAACCAACCGAAAUUAAAUCGGGAUCAUAAAAAAUUUCGCAAAAUCUUAAAUUUUAUUUUCAUCUAAGUACUUACCAUUUCAAUGCUUCUUAUAAUUAAACAUGUUACCAUUCAAUCAAUAGCUUGACCUUUGUCUAAGCGUCAAGCCACAUCAUUGUUAGUAUACUUGCACAUAUUUCAUAUAAAUUCAACAUUGAUAUACUUAUUUUCUCGACAUGUCACACUUGAGUUUAAUAAUUGUCUUUACUUACAUAAUUUCAUUGUAUCAACAUAUCAAAGAUAAUCAUAUAUGUACAUGUCAUGAAACAUAUCAUUCUCUUACCGUUUCUUCAUAAGCAUAUAUCAUUCAUUUCAUUAUAUCAAUAUUUCAUGCUCCAUCAUUUCCAUAUAUUUUAUGUAUAUUUAUUCCGGUAAUAGCUUAUAUCAAACUUAACAUAAAUUAUAUUCCAUGUACUUAUACUUAUUUCGUUUAUCUAUCUUAAUAAUUAUUUCAUAUAACCAUUCGUCAUCUGAUACAUAUUACCUGAAUAUCAAUUGUUCAACAGAUGUCACAGCGUCUCCCAUCCAUGGUCUUAUUUAUCUUUGACAUGAUGCCAUAGUGUCUUUCAACUAUGGUCUUACUCAUUUUCUGUCAUGUUGCCAUGGUAUCUUUCAACCAUGGUCUUAUUCUUUUCAUGUCACGUUGCCAUGGUAUCUUUCAACCAUAGUCUUACAUAUCUCAUAUUAGGUUGCCAUGGUAUCUUUCAACCAUGGUCUUACACAUUUCAUAUCAAGUUGCCAUGGUAUCUUUCAACCAUGGUCUUACACACAGGUUGCCAUGGUAUCUUUCAACCAUGGUCUUACACAUUUCAUAUCAGGUUGCCAUGGUAUCUUUCAACCAUGGUCUUACACACAGGUUGCCAUGGUAUCUUUCAACCAUGGUCUUACACAUUUCAUAUCAGAGAGCACACUCCCGCUAUCCUCAUCCUUACAGUGGGAUUACCAGUCCAAGCUAAAUCCCCUGUAAUAUAAACUCAUAGAGUAUUGUCGGGAUUACCAGUCCAGGCUAAAUCCCCUGCAACGACAAUUACUCUAAUGAGCUUGGAUCUGAAUUACCAGUCCAGGCUAAAUUCAGACCCUAAUUCGGAUUACCCGUCCGGGCUAAAUCCAUUUUACACGUAUUCUUCGGGAGGGCUAUAUCAGAAUAGGAUCAUCCGUCCGGGCUAGAUCCUUUUUACCAUCAAUUCCUUUUCAGAGAUCCAUCGAAUUUUCCUUUCAUUCAACCGGGAUUUAUUUUCAAUUUAUAUCGAGUAUUAUCAAUAUUUCAUCAAAUAUCAUGAAUUGAAUAUUCAAAUCAUAUUUUCAUCACAUAACCACAUAUUUCAAGUAUUUAAAAUACAAUUCAAGUUACACCAACUUACCUCAUUGCUUGUUUGUGUUUAUAAUUUCAUUAAUCCGAUAUCUUUUCUUUUCCACGAACAAGUCUCAUAUUUGAGUCAUCCGGAUCUUUAUAAAUAAAUUUGAUCAUCAUUUCCAUUCAUUUCAUAUUCUAAUGCAUUUAAUUAAUGCUCUAGGCAAAAUUACCAUUUUGCCCCUAAACUUUUAAUUAAUGACGAUUUCAUCCUUAGGGUCAGGAAAAUAAAAUUAUUUCAAUUUAAUCCUUAUUUUCAGCUAUUAUUCUCAUACAUAUUGAUAACAGUCCAUGAAUUCUAUAAAAUAUCAAAAUUUUCCAUAAUUUCAACACUUUUCAAUUUAAUCCCUAAAACAUGUUUUCCCCUAUCUUGAACUAAAUAAUAAUUUUAUUCAAUUUUGUAAUUUAAAUAAUAAAAUAAUCCAUUUCAUGCAAUUUGGUCAUUUCUGACAUUUUUAGAAAAUUGUCCAUAAAGUUUUACUUUUAUUCAAUUUAGUCCCUGAGCCUAAAAUAUGCAAAUUAGCCAUGCUAAAUGAAUAUGCAUAUAUGUUUUCCUCCUCCUCCUCUCCAUUCCACAUCCUUAAUGUAUAUAACACACUUGUAAGUAACUUUAUCUAUAUAUAUAUUUUAUUUACUUUUAUGAAUAUUCAAGCUGUCCAUCUGUAUCAUAGUCACUAAAUUAUUUAUAUCUGGAGUUAUAGAGCUCCAAAUUAAGAUCAAAAAAUUUUCCAUGAAACUAGGCUCAUAUAUCUUCUUUCCAUAAAAUUUUCAGAAUUUUUGGUUCAGGAAAUAAGUACAUUUUAUUCUUUAAAGUUACCCCUGUUCUGUUGUCUGACAGUUCUGACCCUUCUUUACUAAAAAUUAAUUAUCUCCUCAUACAUAAUUUGAAUGGUAUUAAAGUUUAUUUCUAUUGAAAAUAGACUCAUUCAAGAUUCUAAACAUAUAAAUUUAAGCCCCUAAUUAUUUCUAUCCAAAUUUUGAUGAUUUUCCAAAGUCAGAAUAGGGGAACCCGAAUUCAUUAUGACCUUGUCUCACAAAAUUCAUUAUAUUUCAUGAUUUAAAAAUCCAUUACUUACACCGUUUCUUCUAUAAGAAACUAGACUCAAUAAGAUUUAAUCUCAUAUUUUAUUCAUCCUAUAAUUAGAUUUCUAAAAUUUUUUGUGAUUUUUCAAAGUUAGACUACUUCUGCUGUCCAUAACUGUUUUAGUGCAAGAUAUUAAUUACCAUGUUAUAACACCCUUAUUUUCUUUUUCUACACCAUUUCUCAUCACUUUCUCUUAUUUUCUCUUCACUAACAUAUCAAGAACAUAGGACCUUAUGUAAGAAAACUCUACUAUAACAUUAUUUCCAUGCUUUGUUAAUAAUAACAAACUUAAAAACAUAUUGAAAUCUUGAUGUACUUACCUUUUCUUAUUGACUUCAAUCUUUAACUUGAUUUUUCUCUCUCCUCCAGCUUCUAUUUCUUAAAUCCAACUUGAUAUUCUUGCUCCCCAUCAUCUCCUUGCUAUCUUUCUCUCUUGAUGGCUAUGGAAAUUCUUUCAAUUUUUAGGUGAAAAUAAUGAAUUUUUGGAGGAAGGACUAAAUUGCAAGAAAAGGAAAACUUUCUUUCUUCUUCUUCUUCUCACGUUAGUUGCAUGAGAAUGGUGAUCAUCCUCCCCUUUCUUUCCUUACAUAUAUAUAUUAAAUAAAAUAAUAAAAUAUCAUUUAAAAAUCAAUUUAAAGUAUUAAUAAACUAAUAUUUAUUUAUUUAAUUUAUCUAAAAUAUCUCCAACAUCAUCAUUGUCUCUAGAUUUCUCUCUCUUCCAAUUGACUAUUUUGCCCUUUGUGAUCUUUUAAAAUUCCAAUCUUGAGUCAUCACUUAAUUUAGUAAAAUUGCAAUUUAGUCUCUCAUAAUUCUUCACCUAUUCAAUUUGGUCCUAAUUCAUCAAUUUUCCUUGGUUUCUAGAUCAUUCCACCCUUAAAAUAUUUGCACUAUUAGUCCUUCAAAUUUUCAUAUUUACACUUUAAUCCUUCAAAUUUUGAGUAUUUACUCUUGGGCUACAAAACUUUUCUCACUUUUACAAUUUAAUCCUUUCUUGAAUCAAUAUGUCAUAAUAUACUUCCCAAUAUUGACAUAACUCAAAAUUUCCCUUUUUGUCACUUUAUUUUCUUAUUUUACUAUAUCACGAAUAAUAUUUUACUAUAAAAAUUUUCGGGGUAUUACAAUUUGCAUCCUAGGUUGGCAUCAUAUAUCGUUGGUUAUAUUAAUAGGCAGUUGUGAAAAUGACCCACCUCCGAAGAACAAUGAUUCUAGUGGUGUUUCUGACACUAUUAACGGAGAAGUAUAUGGUGUCGAAUAACCCAUUUGUGCAUAGAAUGUUGGAAUUGCAGGCAAUAGUGAAUACAUUGGUGCUGUUGACAAUAAUGGUGUGUAAUAUGUUCUUGCGGAUGGAGGGGGUGCGAAAAAUAUUCCUAGAGAAUGUGUUGAUGCAUUGUAUGCUGGUGCAUAAUGUGGUGUUUGUGUGAAAAACAUAGGGUUAGUAAAAGCACCAAAAAAAUAUGAACUAUACUGACCAGGAGGCUGUACAUCCAUCGAUAUAGGAUUCGGGGUUAGAGCUGAUGAUGAUGAAAUCAAUGCAUGUACUCCCGAUUGAACCUCAUGUGGGGGUGUUUUGCCUUUUGUGACAAAUUUAUCUACUCCUUUCCUCCUCUGGCAAUAUAUAUGACUUACCGUGAACUCUAAACCAUGUCAUGUAAUCCGAAUAUGUCGCCAAAUCUAGUCUGACAAUUGGGUCACGUAUAGGUUGAAAUCGUACCUAUAUUUCUAGAUGUAGAUAUACUUGGCAUGAAAUUUAAGCUAAUCUUUAUCGGUUCUCCUCUACAAGUCAAUCUUGUGAAGUUCAUCGAGCUCCUGGGUGAGGGCAAAAUAUUUUGCACAAAGUCAAAUGGGGCAUCAAUCGAUAGAUUCAUGCAUCUUAACCAUUGCAAAAACCAUCAAUGACACUUUGAAAUGAGAGAUAUUAUGAUUCGUUAAAAAUUCGGUUGAGAUGCAUUCUUAAAUUCUCAUAUUAGAGUAUGACAUUUAUUCAAAUAGUAGUACAAAAUUAUAAAUUUUAUUACAUAUCUAAUAUUAAAUUUCAAAUCCUUACAUAAUUAUUAUAUAAUUUAAAAUUCAAAAACUAACAUCAGCUUCUGACUGUUGAUCUAACAAUAAUCAAAUAUCUUUACACUCGUUCAGUAUACCCGCAUGACUCACGUCAUUGUUCCACCUAUUCAAAUAAUAUGUUAUUCGAAAAAUAUAAUAAUGAAAAAAAUAAUAUGAUACCUAUAUUAUUAAAUAAAUCUUACCUUAUUACGAGUGGGAAUUGAUAAAGGAAGUUUACUCAGGAGGUAAAAAUGGUAAAUGGUACCAUGUUCAUGACUAAAGAAGGAGUAUACAACCAUUGAUUUUAAUUUUAUAUGCUUUAGUUCCCUGACAUAUCUUUUGGUAGAAUGUAGCCAAGAUAGUUGAUCCCCAAAUGAGUCGCUCGACUUCUUUUAAAUCGAUUAGUUGUAGGAGCCACAUUAAAUGUACUAGAUUUUGAGAUUUAUCUAGCAUUAGAAGACCCCCUGACCAACCUCAGUAUGUAUGCUUGAACGAAUUGUUCUCUUUCAACCACACUAGAAGUGUUGUCGAGAUGUGAGAAAUUAUCUUCUAACCAUUUCAUAUCUAUUCGACUCCCACUAAACUUGUUUGGCACCUUGCCUAAUAGUUGAUGGCAAAUUACACUCCAAUCACCAACGCGCACUACCCCCAUAACGAGUGACCCAUCAAUCGAUAAAUCGAGAUGUAAUGUCAUAUCCUCGAGUGUAAUCACACUUACCACUCAGAAGAUGAAAUGUGUGUGUCUUGAGUCUCCAUCUUUCCAAUAAAACACUGAUAAGUGCGGGCUCCAAUAUAGUCUUGUCGAGCAUAUGAGACACGUGCAAGAGUCCUGGCUUUUCCAAGUAUUAUUCAAUAACAUGUGGUGCUCUCACACUUAAAUUGUGUAUAUAUGUUUUGAUAAUCUGAUCUUCAUCUUGAUUAUAUAAACAUAUAAAAAUUUAAAAAUAAUAUUAACAAUUUAAUAAUUAUAUUAAUUAAAUAAAAAUAUAAUAAUAUUUUCUUACCAUUUGUAAUUGGAUGUCAAAAAUGUAUUUGUGAUCCAAAUGAAUGAGAGGCAUUGACAUUUUUAAAAUUAUGAAAAUCAAAUAAAAUCUAGAAAAUUACAAAAUAGAAAAUUGAAAGAAGAAGAAUUUGAGAGACUUUUGAGAGUUUAGAAUAGAAAAAAAUAGAUGAUAAUAAUUGAGAGAGUUGAGAGAAUAGAUGAAUAGAAUUGAAUGAAAAAGAUUGAAAAUAGACCGGAUAUAUAUAAGAAAAAAAAUUGUUAUUGUUGUCCAAUUAGCCACUAGUCCCAAUGGUUUAUAUAAACUUUUUUUCUAAAAUUCUGGCUUCGGGGCGAAGUAGGGCCACAUGGCAAAAACACUCAUUAUAGGACAUAUUUUCACCCUCUCUCCUCUAUGUCACUUGAAAGUGCAUCUUACACAGCACAUUUUUACCUUUUUAUCUCAAAAAUCGACUUAUUUCCUAAUUUACAAAUAAAAUAGCCGAAAAAUCUAAAAUUUUAAACCAACAUAUGUGCCUGAUUUUCCCUUAACUUUUGUUCAUUAUGAUUCCACUUCAAUAAUGAUAUUUUAAUUUUGGAAUAUUUCCACUUAUAUCUAUUUAAAAUUUUCACAAUUUUUUAUACAAUUAAUAUUUUAACAACUCAAUUGUUAAAUUUAUUAAUAUGUUGGACUUAACAUGCAUGUAAAAUUUUAAACCGAUCUGAUAUUUUUUAUCGUAUCGAUCUAAAAUAAUAUAUAUCUUUAUAUAUAUUUAACAAUUAAUUUUUUUUUACAGAAAACGAAUAAUUAAAAUUUUUUUAAUUUAUAUCAAACUUGACAUAUAUUAUAUAUUGGUAUGAAACACCAAUUUACUUAUUAAUAUAUUAAUAGUAUAAAAAAUAAGAGAAAAGUGCAAAAUCAUUUUAAUUGUAUUGUACAUUAUUUUCUAGAUAUAAUUAUAAUGGAGUACAUUUUAAUAUAAAAUUAUAAAAUUUUUCUCAGACAACAUAGAUCUCCUCAAAUCCAACUCCGAACUGACUCAUUUCAAGAUUAGACUCGCCCUGAUCCAAACUUUUUGCAUACGACGGGUUAUGGCCGAAAAUAAAUAAAUGCUAUGAAGCCAUUAUUAUUAUUAUUAUUCAAAUUAGAUAAAAGGAAAUUCUUUUUAAAAAACAAUACUAGUACCAGUAGUUUAGACUUAAACCAAAAUGAAAAAAAAACAAAAACAAAAGUGUAGUUCCAACAUGAGUUGGCAUGGUAAGUAAUUAGCAACUAGUGCAAAUUUAUUCGAGGAAGAGCCACUUUGGUCCAUCGCUUGGUGAAUGAUGAAUGACCCAUUACUUGUACAAGAAGUAACGCAGGCAUCUGAAUUCUCAAGUCAUUUUGGGACAACAUUAAUGGGUUUCUCAUAUGAGGGGAAUGGCCGCAACACCAAGUGCACUCAGACCAAUUCUUGGCCUAAAUUACACAUCACAUGAUAAACAGGAUAAUCAAGGGGU
rnacentral:lncRNA from 1 species